UACGGAGGGUGCAAGCGUUAUCCGGAUUCACUGGGUUUAAAGGGUGCGUAGGCGGGUUGGUAAGUCAGUGGUGAAAUCUUCAAGCUUAACUUGGAACUGCCGUUGAUACUAUCAAUCUUGAAUAUUGUGGAGGUAAGCGGAAUAUGUCAUGUAGCGGUGAAAUGCUUAGAUAUGACAUAGAACACCAAUUGCGAAGGCAGCUCACUACACGAGCAUUGACUCUGAGGCACGAAAGCGUGGGGAGCGAACAGG
rnacentral:rRNA from 1 species